rnacentral:rRNA from 1 species
CAGCCGUAAACAAUGUGCGUUAGGUGUGUCGGUAACCACGCGUUACUGAUGCGCCGAAGAGAAAUCGUGAAACGCACCACCUGGGAAGUACGGUCGCAAGGCUGAAACUUAAAGGAAUUGGCGGGGGAGCACCACAACAGGUGGAGCCUGCGGUUCAAUUGGAUUCAACGCCGGACAUCUCACCGGAUAAGACAGCUGAAUGAUUGUCAAUCUGAAGGUUUUACAUGACUAGCUGAGAGGAGGUGCAUGGCGUCAGUGACU